AUUAGAGUUUGAUCAUGGCUCAGAUUGAACGCUGGCGGAAUGCUUUACACAUGCAAGUCGAACGGCAGCACGGGGGCAACCCUGGUGGUGAGUGGCGAACGGGUGAGUAAUACAUCGGAACGUGCCCAGUCGUGGGGGAUAACGUAGCGAAAGCUACGCUAAUACCGCAUACGAACUGAGGUUGAAAGCGGGGGAUCGCAAGACCUCGCGCGAUUGGAGCGGCCGAUGGCAGAUUAGGUAGUUGGUGGGGUAAAGGCUCACCAAGCCGACGAUCUGUAGCUGGUCUAAGAGGACGACCAGCCACACUGGGACUGAGACACGGCCCAGACUCCUACGGGAGGCAGCAGUGGGGAAUUUUGGACAAUGGGCGCAAGCCUGAUCCAGCCAUUCCGCGUGCAGGAUGAAGGCCCUCGGGUUGUAAACUGCUUUUGUACGGAACGAAAAGGCCUUUUCUAAUACAGAGGGCUCAUGACGGUACCGUAAGAAUAAGCACCGGCUAACUACGUGCCAGCAGCCGCGGUAAUACGUAGGGUGCAAGCGUUAAUCGGAAUUACUGGGCGUAAAGCGUGCGCAGGCGGUGAUGUAAGACAGGUGUGAAAUCCCCGGGCUUAACCUGGGAACUGCAUUUGUGACUGCAUCGCUGGAGUGCGGCAGAGGGGGAUGGAAUUCCGCGUGUAGCAGUGAAAUGCGUAGAUAUGCGGAGGAACACCGAUGGCGAAGGCAAUCCCCUGGGCCUGCACUGACGCUCAUGCACGAAAGCGUGGGGAGCAAACAGGAUUAGAUACCCUGGUAGUCCACGCCCUAAACGAUGUCAACUGGUUGUUGGUCCUUCACUGGAUCAGUAACGAAGCUAACGCGUGAAGUUGACC
rnacentral:rRNA from 1 species